UGUAAAAGAGAAAAUAACUGUCAUGUUGGAAGGUUUGGUGGCUGCCAAGAGGGUGGCUGAGGGGGGGCUUGGGAUUAAGCACGGGGUGACAUCAAAAGGGCUAAUCUCCGGUUCCCUGGCACGCUGUGAGGGCUGAAGAACAGGCAAUUCCCAGCUGGGACAACGCUUCCUCAGGAACCGGGAUCCUGCCCAGGCUGCAAAUCAGCUGGAAAAGACUCUGCUUCUCCUCCUGGCAGCAAUGAAGCCACCCUGUCCUCCUCCUCAGCAGGAAGAGAACUCUGCUGCGUGGGGAACUGCUCAGCAGAGACCUUACAGCAGGAGCAAGGACUUCUGUGUCCCUCUUACCAUUACAGUCCCCAAAUCCAGGUGACAUCGAGGAGCUCCACCAGCCCCAGCACUCACUGGAACUGCUGAAGAUUAUUUUAGCAAUGAGAGGUCUGAAAUAAAUGGUCAAAAACCUGA